AGAGUUAGAUCCUGGCUCAGGAUGAACGCUGGCGGCGUGCUUAACACAUGCAAGUCGAACGAGCCUUCGGGCUAGUGGCGGACGGGUGAGUAACACGUGGGAAUCAGCCCUCAGGAGGGGGAUAACGGCCGGAAACGGCCGCUAAUACCCCAUAUGCCGAGAGGUGAAACGAAUUUCGCCUGAGGAUGAGCCCGCGUCUGAUUAGCUAGUUGGUGAGGUAAUGGCUCACCAAGGCAUCGAUCAGUAGCUGGUCUGAGAGGAUGAUCAGCCACACUGGGACUGAGACACGGCCCAGACUCCUACGGGAGGCAGCAGUGGGGAAUUUUCCGCAAUGGGCGCAAGCCUGACGGAGCAACGCCGCGUGAGGGACGAAGGCCUCUGGGCUGUAAACCUCUUUUCUCAAGGAAGAAGACAUGACGGUACUUGAGGAAUAAGCCACGGCUAAUUCCGUGCCAGCAGCCGCGGUAAUACGGGAGUGGCAAGCGUUAUCCGGAAUUAUUGGGCGUAAAGCGUCCGCAGGCGGCCUUGAAAGUCUGUUGUUAAAGCGUGGAGCUCAACUCCAUUUCAGCAAUGGAAACUACAAGGCUAGAGUGUGGUAGGGGCAGAGGGAAUUCCCGGUGUAGCGGUGAAAUGCGUAGAUAUCGGGAAGAACACCAGUUGCGAAGGCGCUCUGCUGGGCCAUAACUGACGCUCAUGGACGAAAGCCAGGGGAGCGAAAGGGAUUAGAUACCCCUGUAGUCCUGGCCGUAAACGAUGAACACUAGGUGUCGGGAGAAUUAACCCUUUCGGUGUCGUAGCCAACGCGUUAAGUGUUCCGCCUGGGGAGUACGCACGCAAGUGUGAAACUCAAAGGAAUUGACGGGGGCCCGCACAAGCGGUGGAGUAUGUGGUUUAAUUCGAUGCAACGCGAAGAACCUUACCAGGGUUUGACAUCCUGCGAAUCCUUUGGAAACUUAGGAGUGCCUUCGGGAGCGCAGUGACAGGUGGUGCAUGGCUGUCGUCAGCUCGUGUCGUGAGAUGUUGGGUUAAGUCCCGCAACGAGCGCAACCCACGUCUUUAGUUGCCAGCAUUUAGUUGGGCACUCUAGAGAGACCGCCGGUGAUAAACCGGAGGAAGGUGUGGAUGACGUCAAGUCAUCAUGCCCCUUACAUCCUGGGCUACACACGUACUACAAUGCUACGGACAAAGGGCAGCAAACUCGCGAGAGCUAGCAAAUCCCAUAAACCGUGGCUCAGUUCAGAUCGUAGGCUGCAACUCGCCUACGUGAAGGAGGAAUCGCUAGUAAUCGCAGGUCAGCAUACUGCGGUGAAUACGUUCCCGGGCCUUGUACACACCGCCCGUCACACC
rnacentral:rRNA from 1 species